GAUGAACGCUGGCGGCGUGCCUAAUACAUGCAAGUCGAGCGAACAGACGAGGAGCUUGCUCCUCUGACGUUAGCGGCGGACGGGUGAGUAACACGUGGAUAACCUACCUAUAAGACUGGGAUAACUUCGGGAAACCGGAGCUAAUACCGGAUAAUAUAUUGAACCGCAUGGUUCAAUAGUGAAAGACGGUUUUGCUGUCACUUAUAGAUGGAUCCGCGCCGCAUUAGCUAGUUGGUAAGGUAACGGCUUACCAAGGCAACGAUGCGUAGCCGACCUGAGAGGGGGAGCGGCCACACUGGAACUGAGACACGGUCCAGACUCCUACGGGAGGCAGCAGUAGGGAAUCUUCCGCAAUGGGCGAAAGCCUGACGGAGCAACGCCGCGUGAGUGAUGAAGGUCUUCGGAUCGUAAAACUUUGUUAUUAGGGAAGAACAAAUGUGUAAGUAACUAUGCACGUCUUGACGGUACCUAAUCAGAAAGCCACGGCUAACUACGUG
rnacentral:rRNA from 1 species